rnacentral:rRNA from 1 species
UACAGAGGGUGCAAGCGUUGUUCGGAAUUAUUGGGCGUAAAGGGAGUGUAGGCGGCUUGUUAAGUCUUCUGUGAAAUCUACGGGCUCAGCCUGUAACGUGCAGAGGAAACUGGCGAGCUUGAGUGUCGGAGAGGAUAGGGGAAUACCCGGUGUAGAGGUGAAAUUCGUAGAUAUCGGGAGGAACACCCGUGGCGAAGGCGGCUCUCUGGGACGGUACUGGACGCUGAGGAGCGAAAGCGUGGGGAGCGAACAGG